AUUGAUUUGAGCUCUCUGAUUACAUGAAAGACUUCUUGGGCUGACGUUUUGAGGUCCUACUUAAGCUACCAACUAGUGAAGUAUAAGUAGCAUAGUCAUGCACAAGCCCCAUUUCACCACGUAGCUUAUCAUAUUCAUCAGGAUUCCCAUGCUUGCAAUGCCCUUCCAAGAGAAUGUUAUAGGUAAUGUCAUCCGGAUUCAAACCUAGAUUAAGCAUAGCUUGUAAUAGCAUUUCAGCAUUCCUCAUCUGUCCUUGUCUGCAUAGACCAUUCACCACGUAGCUUAUCAUAUUCAUCAGGAUUCCCAUGCUUGCAAUGCCCUUCCAAGAGAAUGUUAUAGGUAAUGUCAUCCGGAUUCAAACCUAGAUUAAGCAUAGCUUGUAAUAGCAUUUCAGCAUUCCUCAUCUGUCCUUGUCUGCAUAGACCAUUCAAAAGCACGUUGUAAGUUAUAACAUUAGGUGCAUG
rnacentral:misc_RNA from 1 species